GCCGGCGUUGUGAUCGUCGCUCUGUGUCAUGUGACUCUGCAGCUGGGAGUUGAUGUCGUCGUACUCCGGACUCAGAAGUACUGACCAAAGUUAAGCACGCUUAAGGAGUUGGUGCAAAUCCAUUUCAUCCCCGCGGCAUUGCGCUUCUCCGACUCGGGAACAGGAAUCCAGCCGCCAAAAACGAACAUCCUGCGAGGGUUUGAGUGAAGACUCCUGGGGAGUGGCACCGAGCCCCUCGUUUCAAGCAUUGACCACGCCAUCGUGUCUGAAGAAAAGACGUAUCGUGCUUUGGGUCAAGUGUGACACCUGCGUACGAUGAAGAGCUUUGGAGAGCCGAGGCCGGCGUAAGCGACGGACGUGUGCGACUCCCGUGCUGAAGGACCACCGCCUUUUGUCUCCGGGAUGCUCCAGCCUCUUGCCCCCGAUACAGACUGCAGCUCCAACUCGUAGAGGUCGUCCAAGUACCUGCCAAAGAACGUCUCACCUUGGAUGUCUUUA